GCAAAAACAAACACACACACACCUCCCUAGGCGGUGAGAGGUAUCCGCACCGCCCUGGCAAGGGGGAGCCCUGGGAGGAAAGGAGCGGCGAUGCUCGGAUGGGUCUUCCGCAGACACGCGGGCACCAAAGGGGGCGCCAGAGAGCCCUCCACGCCCCCGGGGCCCGAGGCGGCUGCUGGACUCGACUUCCGGCGGCUGGAGCUGGUGUUCGGCCCCGCGGCCCGCACCCGCGCGAACCCCGCGGCGUCUUCCGGGCCGAGGCGGGGCCGGGCCGCCGGGAGGCGGGGAAGCGGGAAGGUGACCCGAGAGCGGGGCGGGGCCGGCGCGGCGUGGCGGUGGCAGCAGGGCCGGCAUGGGCGGCGCGGGGGCGCUCCUGCGGCCGGCGGCCUGGAUGACUUCCCUCUGGAAGUCUUUCCACUGACUUUGUAUUUCUGUUUCCAAAUCACCGUCUCGUGACGCCUGGUGGCCUUGAGAAGCUGAACCAGAGGCGGGACAUCUCCUCCUGGCUGGCUCGAUGGUUCCCCAGAACCCCAGCCAAGCCUGUGGUGGCCCUGAAAACACCCAUCAAGGUGGAGCUGGUGGCUGGGAAAACCUACAGGUGGUGUGUGUGUGGCCGUAGCAAGAAG